rnacentral:rRNA from 1 species
UACAAUAGGCCGUCAGUGGGACAUCAUAGAGGGUGACAAUCCCGUCCUUGACAUCAAUGUACGAGUCCAUUACGAUGCCUAUCUCAGAGAGUCGAGCAGUUUGGGAUUUGCUGCUUAAACAUGGGAGGUAGAUUCCUUCUAAAGCUAAAUACAGGCAAGAGACCGAUAGAGAACAAGUACCGCAAGGGAAAGAUGAAACAGAACUCUGUGAAGGGAGUCAAAAAGACGUGAAAUUGUUGCGAGAGAAGCGAUUCAAGUCAGCGUAGCUAGGCCCAUCAAGCACCUCGCUUUGGACUGGCUUUGCCAGCGGUCUUGUCCUUUAGAGACUUGACUAACGUGCCCUGCCCGGUCUGACGGGCAGACCCCUCCUCUGGGGCCAGUGGCAUGGCUGGUGGAAUGGCUUGCAAUCGACCCGUCUUGAAACACGGACCAAGGAGUCUAACAUGUGUGCGAGUAUAAGGGUGGCAAACCCGUAUGCGCAAAGAAAGUGAUAGCCUCUGGCUGAGAAUGGCCUGAUGACCAGACAAGCAAUAUAUGUUCCUCGUACGGUCAUUGCCCAAGUCCUGUGGUCAGAUCCCAUGGACAUGGAGUUAGAGCAUACAUGCUAGGACCCGAAAGAUGGUGAACUAUGCCUGGACAAAGCGAAGCCAAAGGAAACUCUGGUGGAGGCUUGUAGCGAUUCUGACGUGCAAAUCGAUCGU